CCUACGGGGGACUGCAGUGAGGAAUCUUCGUCAAUGGGCGCGAGCCUGAACCAGCCAAGUCGCGUGAGGGAGGACGGCCCUACGGGUUGUAAACCUCUUUUGCCGGGGAGCAACGGGCGCCACGUGUGUCUUCACUGAGAGUACCCGUAGACAAAGCAUCGGCUAACUCCGUGCCAGCAGCCGCGGUAAUACGGGGGAUGCUAGCGUUCUCCGGAUUUAUUGGGUUUAAAGGGUGCGUAGGCGGAUCGUUAAGUCAGUGGUCAAAUUGAGGGGCUCAACCCCUUCCCGCCAUUGAAACUGGCGUUCUUGAGUGGAAGAGAGGUAUGCGGAAUGCGUGGUGUAGCGGUGAAAUGCAUAGAUAUCACGCAGAACCCCGAUUGCGAAGGCAGCAUGCCGGCUUCCGACUGACGCUGAAGCACGAAAGCGUGGGGAUCGAACAGGAUUAGAUACCCCAGUAGUC
rnacentral:rRNA from 1 species